rnacentral:antisense_RNA from 2 species
UGUGGGAGCGAGCUUGCUCGCGAUGGCGGCGUAUCAGGCACCAUCAUUGUUGACUGGACGGCCGCUAUCGCGAGCAAGCUCGCUCCCACA